GUGACUGACAGCCACAACAGAAGAGACCUGCCUGCGGUGCAGUUAUUGGGCCUUUCCUGAAGGACUAUAGUUGUGAUCUGCUGCUGCCCGACUUGGAUGAAAAGGAAGAUGCAAUGUUUUGCCAUGUGGAUGACGUGUGCCUUCCAGAAGAAGUACCGGUAAAUACGGAGG